rnacentral:rRNA from 1 species
UACGUAGGGUGCGAGCGUUGUCCGGAAUUAUUGGGCGUAAAGAGCUCGUAGGCGGUCUGUCGCGUCGGUCGUGAAAACUUGGGGCUUAACCCUGAGCUUGCGGUCGAUACGGGCAUGACUGGAGUUCGGUAGGGGAGACUGGAAUUCCUGGUGUAGCGGUGAAAUGCGCAGAUAUCAGGAGGAACACCGGUGGCGAAGGCGGGUCUCUGGGCCGAUACUGACCGCUGAGGAGCGAAAGCGUGGGGGAGGCGAACAGG